rnacentral:snoRNA from 1 species
GUGCUUAAUUCAUUGACCUGCUUUCUUGCAUAUGUGAGCAGUGUUAUUUCUCACAUAUUAUACUAAUAGGUGAAGGUUGAUCAGCAGGAUAACUAUAAACAGCGAUGCUUCCGGUCUCCCUCAGACAAAG